rnacentral:rRNA from 1 species
UGCAAGUCGCACGAGAACCAAUUAGCUUGCUAUGAGGUGGACAGUGGCGAAAGGGAGAGUAACGCGUGGUUACAUGCCCUCGAGACCGGGAUAGUGUUGGGAAACUGGCAGUAAUACCGGAUAACAUCUUCGGAUCAAAUGGUGUGAUUCCGCUCGAGGAUUGGACCGCGUACUAUUAGCUUGUUGGUGAGGUAACGGCUCACCAAGGCUGCGAUGGUUACCGGGUGUGAGAGCAUGGCCCGGCUCACUGGGACUGAGACACUGCCCAGACAUCUACGGAUGGCUGCAGUCGAGAAUCUUCGGCAAUGGACGAAAGUCUGACCGAGCGACGCCGCGUGCGGGAUGAAGGCCCUCGGGUUGUAAACCGCUGUCAGUUAGGAGGAAAUCCAUGAGGGUUCUCCCUCAUGGUUGACCGAUUUUCAGAGGAAGGACGGGCUAAGUUCGUGCCAGCAGCCGCGGUAAUAC